rnacentral:rRNA from 1 species
UACAGAGGUCCCAAGCGUUGUUCGGAUUCAUUGGGCGUAAAGCGCGUGUAGGCGGCCCUGCAAGUCGGAUGUGAAAUCCCACGGCUCAACCGUGGAAGUGCAUUCGAAACUGCAGGGCUAGAGUCCUGGAGAGGAAGGUGGAAUGCUUGGUGUAGAGGUGAAAUUCGUAGAUAUCAAGCGGAACACCGGUGGCGAAGGCGGCCUUCUGGACAGUGACUGACGCUGAGACGCGAAAGCGUGGGGAGCAAACAGG